UAGCAGUGACAGGCCAUUUUUGGUAUGCUUAGGAUUACUCAGAUUUGUUGCAGCAUGAGAGUUUGGAAGAAUUGGAAGCAGGUCCAAUCUCUACCUUAUUACUUAUUUUAAUCAAUUUUUAAGUCUUUGGCUUUUGCAGUAGAAUUCCUAGAGGUUUUUUUUUUUUUUUUUUAGUAUUUUUAUACAUUGAUAUAAAAAAGAAAGAAGCCAGAAGGACAAGUAUUAUUUUUCUCCCUACAAAAGGAAGAAAUUAAGAGACUAUAGUUGUCAGAUACAAAUUUUUAAUAUUUAAUUAUUUCUGAUUAUUUUCUAAAAGAAGAGAAGGGGAUAAUGGCUGGUAAGACUUGAUAAUAAAACCAAAUGUAGACAAAAUUAUCGGGGUAGGAGAAAAGUGAAAAAGGAAACCAGGAACAAAGUAGUUAAUAGAAAUAGUAUCUCCCUCUUUACAUUCUCUCAUCCAAGUGUUGUGUAUUUUAAAACUGUUAAUCUCUCAGGUAUUCUGCAGGUCAAAACACAUCCUUGCUUGGAAAAAACAAAGUGUCAGGUAAGACAGCUGUAGAGUAGGUACCACAUAUGACUAGGGUUCAACCACUGCUCAUAAGAAGUCUCGAUGACAUAAGGAUAAAUAUACAGUGUUCUCCGUGGUGAGGGUAACUCGGUUUCCAUCCUGGUUACACUAAGAGCAAGCAUCUAAGUGGCAUCUAAUGGGUCAGAAUUAGAGCUUUCUGUCCUCAUUUUGUGUUGUUAGUCACAGGGAAAGCCUUCCUAUGUUACCAGCUGGUUGGUUCACUCCUUUGUCUCCUUGUACUUAUCUUCUAGACAGAUUCUGAAAAAGAGAAUGGAAGAAAAGGUUUUAAAUUGUUUUCUGGCAUCUGGCAAAGGACUUGAGCAUGCCUUUUGGCUCUGAUAGGCACUUGUAAGCAGACAUCUAAUGAGGCUAGGCUAGUGUUUUUAUCCUCUAAUCAGGCUCUAUCUUACUCUGUCUUGCUUUCUAAAUCCUAUCUCUAAACAACACCAAGUGUCUUAUCUUUGGAUGGGAGGAUAAGUGAAUUAGAAGUCCGGCCUCAGUUUGGGAAGAGUUCUCAAUAUGAAAGGUUAAUAACACCAUUCUUACAGAAAGAAAAAAAUCAUCCAUUGCCCAAAUUGGGAAGCCACAGAAAAUGCUUGAGCUAACCAAACAUCCCAUAAUCGAUUUUCUAUUCACUUAACCAGUCUAUUCACGCAACUAGUCACUAGCUAUGUUCUAUUUAAAACAGCCACCACUAAUCAGAAUUUCACUUUCUCACCUGAGCUAACAUUAUUCACUGAUUUUGGUUGGCAUAUUUCCUCAUGCCUGUGGGCUCCUCUUUCUGGCUCUCUGAAAUGAUGAUCUUGUUUGUAUUACAGAGCUCUUAUUUGGAAGACAGUGAAUCAGCAGCAUUACUUUGCUGUGAAUAUGGAGAAUCAGAAAUCUUUAGUGAUUUCAAUGUACGUAGGUAUAUGUUUUUAUACACACACAAAUAACAUACAGCCCUUGGUACUCAUGGAUAUUUUGUUAUUGUUUCUAGGGAGCUUUAUUAUGCUGUAGUACAUUUACUCAGCUAUUAAAAACAAUGAAUUUAUGAAAUUCAUAGACAAAUGGAUGGAUCUGGAGGAUAUCAUCCUAAGUGAGGUAACCCAAUCACAAAAGAACACACAUUAUAUGCACUCACUGAUAAGUGGAUAUUGGCCCAGAAUUUUGGAAUACCAAGAUAUUACCAAGAUACAGUCCACAUAAAGCUCAAGAAGAAGGAAGACCACCAUGUAGAUACUUCAGUCCUUCUUAGAAGGGGGAUCAAAAUACCUAUGGGAGGAAAUAGACAAAGUGUGGAGCAGAAACUGAGGGAAAGGUCAUCCAGUGACUGUCCCACCUGGGGAUCCAUCCCAUAUACAGUCACCAAACCCAGAUGCUAUUGUGGAUGUCAACAAGUGCUUGCUGACAGGAGCCUGAUAUAGCUGUCUCCUGAGAGGCUCUGCCAGUGCCUGACAAAUUUUGUUUCUUCUAAUACAUAUCUGUGGCUAAAAUUAGUCCACAUAGCUGAGUUCUACAUGUCUCAGAUGCUUAUUGUAGCGCUAGCACUCAUGGAAAUAUGUGUUGGUGUUACUUCUCAGGUAUAAGAUUCAGCCUCUUUACCCCUUUUCUCCAUGGUACAGUUCUAGGACAUAAUUGUAUUGCCUCACCUGGUUGGAUUUCAUUCCAUCUUGAUGAAGAGUCUGGAAUGCCACAGAUUCAAUUAUUGUGGCUCAUAAAUAGCUGGAGUGGUGCUCAUUUCCCUAAUGCUUACCGACAUUAACUGAUGAAUCUACACAAACACUCUUUUAUCAUGACACUUUAUAGAUGACAGACUGAGUGUGGAAAGGUUAUAAGAUUGUUCGGUGUUUGUGAUACGCAGGGACAGCACUGACGUCACAUUUCAGCUGACAGCUAUCAGUGAGCUCAUUACCAGAGAGCAGAGUCAUUCAUAGAUUAUGUACCAGGCUCCUAUAUAGUAUACUAUGAGAUUUUAUUCAGUGUGUUUUUUAACCUUGCAAAUAAUUAUUUAGGUACUUUUAUUCACAGGCAACUAAUUUCUUUUCCUUUCCUUCCUGCUUGUAGCCAUCUCCCCCAACUGCCUCCCCAGUAGUAUCUCUCUAGGUCACUCAGGCUAUCUCAGAACUUGCCAUGUAGCCUAAACUGGCCUCAAGUUUGUAAUCUUGCUUUCACCUCCCUAGUCCUGGAAAUACUGACAAUCAUUUUAUAGCCAGAAUUUUUAUUCAUUUGAAAUGUCAGGUUUCACUCUUGCCACGUAGGCCUGAUGACCUCAGUUUGAUCCCUAUGUUUCUUGGUGAAAGGAGAGAACUAACUCCUGAAAGUCAUCCUCUGAACUCUAUACAUAGGCUGGUACACACGCACGCGUGCGCACACACACACACAUACACGCACAUACACACACACACACAUACACACACACACACAUACACACACAUACACACACACACACACACACACACACACACACACACGGCAAGUUGACUGAAAAUUUUUUGUUAUUUUUCUGGUUUUUUGUUUUGAUUUUUGAGGCAGGGUCUCAUGUAUCCAAGGCUGACCUCAGACUCACUGUGCAGCCAAUGAUGAUUUUGAACUUCUGAUCCUUCUGCCUUUAAUUUCCAGAGUGCUCAGAGCACAAGCAUGCACCACCAUACUUGCUUUGUACACUUCUGGAGAUCAAAUCUAGGGCUUUGUGCAUGCUAGGCAAGCACUUUACUACUAAGUCACAACCCUACCCGUGGACUAGCUGAGGCCCUGCUUCUCUAUCUUUGUUUAAAGGUUUUGGGUCCAUUUUGUUCACUCAGGGAGUAUUUUCAACCUCUACCUCUUUCUGCCUAUUAGUACUCCAAUAUCUAAGGAAAUUUGAAGAGGUCCUUUCUAACUUAAAGUCUUGGGAUUUAGCUCAGUGGCAGGAUGCUUGUCUAGUAUUCACAAAGUUCUGGUUCACUUCCAAGUACUGCCCAUUCAAGCAUACGGAGUAACAGUAAUCUGAAGAUUUAGCAUAGAGGGUGGUGGUAUUUGUAGAGCAAACAUUGAAAUCCUCAUUAUUUAACUUUCUUCAAAGGAAGUGAUAUGGGAUCUUGAUAAAGAAGUGGAAAUACUCAUGUAAAGAGGAAGAGUAGAUGAUAAAGCCAAUUACUGAGAACCUGUCUGUAAUCUUGGAGUAAUAAUAGUGUGAACUUUGGCUAGAUGCACUCAUUCAUUCAGCAAUCAUUGAUUGACUAUUAUGUGUAAGACUACUGGGUAAAGAGCUAUGUAGUUUGGACAUAAAAUACAGAAUCUGUGCUUAGAGAAUGUAUAAUCAAUUGACAAGUUAGUUUUAUGGAUGGAUAUGAAAG
rnacentral:lncRNA from 1 species